GCCCGUCUAGCUCACCGGUAGAGCGCCUCACUAGUAUCAUUUCUGAGAAACUAAACUCAUUACGAGUUAUGAAUUCAAGGGGUAAUACGUGGUAAUGAGGAGGCAACAGGUUCGACUCCUGUGAUGGGCA